rnacentral:rRNA from 1 species
AUUGAACGCUGGCGGCAGGCCUAACACAUGCAAGUCGAACGAGUGGCGGACGGGUGAGUAAUGUCUGGGAAACUGCCCGAUGGAGGGGGAUAACUACUGGAAACGGUAGCUAAUACCGCAUACCAUCGGAUGUGCCCAGAUGGGAUUAGCUAGUAGGUGGGGUAACGGCUCACCUAGGCGACGAUCCCUAGCUGGUCUGAGAGGAUGACCAGCCAAACUGGAAUGGAGACACGGUCCAGACGCCUACGGGAGGAAGAAGUGGGGAACAUUGCAAAAUGGGCGCAAGCCUGAUGCAGCAAUGCGGCGGGGAGGAAGAAGGCCUUCGGGUUGUAAAGUACUUUCAGCGAGGAGGCGGUACUCGCAGAAGAAGCACCGGCUAACUCCGUGCCAGCAGCCGCGGUAAUUC